UCUUGGCCGUGCGGGAGGAACCUUCCAGCGGCGUCGCCGGCGCCGUGAUGCCGACCACCGAAGGGGUAGCCGGAGGAGAGAUGUGGGGUUGAUUGUUGCCGCCGUUCGCGGUAUGCAGGGUUAGAACGCCGCAGGAUAACGAGAAGGACUAAAGGACAGCGGUGGCCUUGUUUUUCUACUCCAUGUUGUGUUUAGUCUGACUAGGGAAGGAUUUGGCCAGCAGCAAAGCGGCAGGAUGAUCGGGACAGAGGUGUUUUCUUCGCAGGCCCUCUCUCUGCCCCGGUACAAGACCGGCAAAGAUGAGCUUACGGUGCUUCCCCAGGACACCAAGCUACAUGGAAGGGGGAAUGAGGACAAGUUGAAGCAGUCUUGCCGGUAUGUUACUUGAAGAACAGAACUCUGAGUGGCCAGCCUGGUAUAUCUUGUUUCUUAUGUCGAGCAAUAGUUUCAUGCAAGUCUGUUGUGUGUGUGUGAGAGAGAAAUAUGUGCAUUGGAUGCUGAAGUUUGGUUGAACUUGUGGGUAUGCUUGACUGAAUGUUAAUUAUUUGCA